AUUGAACGCUGGCGGCAGGCCUAACACAUGCAAGUCGAACGGCAGCACAGAAGAGCUUGCUCUUUGGGUGGCGAGUGGCGGACGGGUGAGUAAUGUCCGGGAAACUGCCUGAUGGAGGGGGAUAACUACUGGAAACGGUAGCUAAUACCGCAUAACGUCGCAAGACCAAGAGGGGGACCUUCGGGCCUCUUGCCAUCAGAUGUGCCCAGAUGGGAUUAGCUAGUAGGUGGGGUAAUGGCUCACCUAGGCGACGAUCCCUAGCUGGUCUGAGAGGAUGACCAGCCACACUGGAACUGAGACACGGUCCAGACUCCUACGGGAGGCAGCAGUGGGGAAUAUUGCACAAUGGGCGCAAGCCUGAUGCAGCCAUGCCGCGUGUAUGAAGAAGGCCUUCGGGUUGUAAAGUACUUUCAGCGGGGAGGAAGGCGAUAAGGUUAAUAACCUUGUCGAUUGACGUUACCCGCAGAAGAAGCACCGGCUAACUCCGUGCCAGCAGCCGCCGUAA
rnacentral:rRNA from 1 species